rnacentral:rRNA from 1 species
GGCGAACGGGUGAGUAAUACGUGAGUAACCUGCCCUUGACUCUGGGAUAAGCCCGGGAAACUGGGUCUAAUACUGGAUGCUACAUGUCACCGCAUGGUGGUGUGUGGAAAGGGUUUACUGGUCUUGGAUGGGCUCACGGCCUAUCAGCUUGUUGGUGAGGUAAUGGCUCACCAAGGCGACGACGGGUAGCCGGCCUGAGAGGGUGACCGGCCACACUGGGACUGAGACACGGCCCAGACUCCUACGGGAGGCAGCAGUGGGGAAUAUUGCACAAUGGGCGAAAGCCUGAUGCAGCGACGCCGCGUGAGGGAUGACGGCCUUCGGGUUGUAAACCUCUUUCAGCAGGGAAGAAGCCACAAGUGACGGUACCUGCAGAAGAAGCGCCGGCUAACUACGUGCCAGCAGCCGCGGUAAUACGUAGGGCGCAAGCGUUGUCCGGAAUUAUUGGGCGUAAAGAGCUCGUAGGCGGUUUGUCGCGUCUGCUGUGAAAGCCCGGGGCUUAACCCCGGGUGUGCAGUGGGUACGGGCAGACUAGAGUGCAGUAGGGGAGACUGGAAUUCCUGGUGUAGCGGUGGAAUGCGCAGAUAUCAGGAGGAACACCGAUGGCGAAGGCAGGUCUCUGGGCUGUUACUGACGCUGAGGAGCGAAAGCAUGGGGAGCGAACAGGAUUAGAUACCCUGGUAGUCCAUGCCGUAAACGUUGGGCACUAGGUGUGGGGGACAUUCCACGUUUUCCGCGCCGUAGCUAACGCAUUAAGUGCCCCGCCUGGGGAGUACGGCCGCAAGGCUAAAACUCAAAGGAAUUGACGGGGGCCCGCACAAGCGGCGGAGCAUGCGGAUUAAUUCGAUGCAACGCGAAGAACCUUACCAAGGCUUGACAUAUACCGGAUC